AACGCACGAGACCUGCGGACCUGCGGAGGGAUCAUUACAGAGUUGCAAAACUCCCAAACCAUUGUGAACGUUACCUUCUCGUUGCUUCGGCGGGCGGCCCGGGUCCUUCCCGGCGCCCCCCGGCCCCUCGCGGGCGCCCGCCGGAGGUAAACCAAACUCUUGAAUUGUAUGGCCUCUCUGAGUCUUCUGUACUGAAUAAGUCAAAACUUUCAACAAUGGAUCUCUAGAUCGGAAGAGCAC
rnacentral:misc_RNA from 1 species